GAUGAACGCUGGCGGCGUGCCUAAUACAUGCAAGUCGAGCGAACAGACGAGGAGCUUGCUCCUCUGACGUUAGCGGCGGACGGGUGAGUAACACAUGGAUAACCUACCUAUAAGACUGGGAUAACUUCGGGAAACCGGAGCUAAUACCGGAUAAUAUAUUGAACCGCAUGGUUCAAUAGUGAAAGACGGUUUUGCUGUCACUUAUAGAUGGAUCCGCGCCGCAUUAGCUAGUUGGUAAGGUAACGGCUUACCAAGGCUACGAUGCGUAGCCGACCUGAGAGGGGGAUCGGCCACACUGGAACCGAGACACGGUCCAGACUCCUACGGGAGGCAGCAGUAGGGAAUCUUCCGCAAUGGGCGAAAGCCUGACGGAGCAACGCCGCGUGAGUGAUGAAGGUCUUCGGAUCGUAAACUCUGUUAUUAGGGAAGAACAAAUGUGUAAGUAACUAUGCACGUCUUGACGGUACCUAAUCAGAAAGCCACGGCUAACUACGUG
rnacentral:rRNA from 1 species